CAAGAUGUGAGUUUUUGCGUGUAUAUGUCUUUAACGAGCUAACUUUCUUUCCCAAGGGACGAGAACCGUUACUCACUCAUUAUCAAAUCAACAAGGAAUUUCCUCGGCUGUAUGGAUUCGAGGUGAUGAAGGGGACAUUGGACUACAUCUGGUAUUCCUCGGGUACACUGAAGGUGAAUGCUGUAUUACAACAUGUCACAGAAGACGUUAUCAAACCCCUGGUAGCCUGCCCGAACAAAUAUUUCCCGAGUGACCAUCUGUCUAUGAAAGCUUGCUUUGGUUUUAAAAACUCGUAAACCUUGUGUCGUCAACCUUGUAACAAUCUUGUUAUAUCGUGACUGUAUCAAACUUGUAACAGUGAUAAUGCCAUCAAGCUUGUUAACAGCUUUUAACAAGCUUGUUGGUAUUAUCAGAUUUGUAGCAAGGUUGUUCCAACAAGUCUGAUACAGUCAUGACAUAACAAUAUUGUUACAACCUUGUGCCGUCAACCUUGUAACAUUCUUGUUACAUCAUGACUGUAUCAGACAUGUCAGAACAAUCUUGUAACAAGUCUGAUAAUGUCAUCAAGCUUGUUACAAGUUGUUAACUUGUUGGUAUUAUCAAAAUUGUAGCAAGGUUGUUCCAACAAGUCCGAUACAGUCAUGACAUAACAAUAUUGCCAGCUUGUGAACAGAUUUGUACACGCGUAAAAAUCUCACAUCUUGUAGCAAGUCUGCCAACAAGCCGUCAACAAGUUGUGUUCGCACUGCUUGUCCCAAAUUGUCAACAAGUUUGGAACAAGCUGUUAACAACUUGUAACAAUCAUGUUGAUAUUAUCAGGCUUGUUACAAGGUUGUAUCAACAAGUCCGAUACAGUCAUGAUGUAACAAUAUUGUUACAACCUUGUGUCGUCAACCUUGUAACAUUCUUGUUAUAUCAUGACUGUAUCAGACUUGUUAGAACAACCUUGUAACAAAUCUGAUAAUGUCGUCAAGCUUGUGUCAAGUUGUUAACAGCCUGUUCCAAACUUGUUACUACAACUGGGAACAAGCAGAGCGAAGACGACUUGUCAACAGCUCGUGAACAAACAGUGGCGCCGGGGGGCAGGGGGGGGGCAUUGCCGCCCCUAUUGGGGAGACCCGUCGGAAAAUUGUGAAUGUUGUCGGAAAUUUUUGGAAAAUCGUGAACGUUGUCGGAAAUUGUCAAAGUUGCCGACGUUCGUAUAUUCGGAAAAUUUUGGAUAAAUGGAGAAAAUUGUUGAUGUCCGGGAAAAUUUUUAGAUGUAACGUAAAUUUUGGCAUGUCCGGGAAAAAAUUUUGACCCCUAACAUGUACACUGACCGAAAUUUUUUUGGCGGCAAUAAAAUUUCAGGUGAACAAAAAUUUUCGCGAUGUUCCUGUCGGAAACUAUUUUCCGGUUUGUCGGAAAAGUACUGACCUUGGCGCCCCCCCCCCAAAAAAAAAAAAACAUGGGUCCCACGGCGCCACUGUGAACAAAUUUGUAACAACUUGUUUGCAGACUUGUAACAACUUGUGCGUUUUUACGUGUGUAGGAACGACUUGUUUUCAGACCUUGUGUGCUUUCACUUGUGUAGUUGUAUUGCUACCGAUCUCCAAUUUUCUUAUCAUUGGCACUGUGCGAGAUUAGAUCAAACACAAGAUGUGCUCGCACUGCUUGUCCCAAGUUGUCAACAGGUUUGGUACAACUUGUUGACAACUUGUAACAACCUUGUCGAAAUUAUCAGACUUGUUGCAAGGUUGUUCUGACAAGUCCGUUACAUGCUUGAUAUAACAAGAUCGUUACAACCUUGUGUUGACAACCUUGUAACAUCCUUGUUAUAUCAUGGCUGUAACAAACUUGUUAGCACAAUCUUGUAACAAGGCUGAUAAUGCCAUCAAGCUUGUUACAAGUUGUUAACAGCUUGAUUCAAACUUGUUGCAACAAACUGGGAACAAACAGUGCGAAGACAACUUGUUGACAGCUUGUGAACAGAUUUGUAACAACUUGUUUGCAGAC
rnacentral:tRNA from 1 species